rnacentral:lncRNA from 1 species
UGAAGUUCUGUCUGUGAGAAAAAGAAGACAGGAGUGUCUAGACACACCAACAGUUUUCCAGGGUUGGAAUUAUGCCCCUGGCCAGUGGUGACUGAUAGUUCUCCCUGAGACCAACCUCUGCCCAGACUGUGAAAGGACAACUUGCAUAUCUUCUGUUGCUGAGUUCCUUCUGGAGAGAAACUACAGUUACCUUCUGUUGAGCUGCCUUGCCAUAGAUCUCCUGCCUCGAUUGCCAGGUUUGUCUAUUCGCAUACCUCUGGAAACUGUAUUUCUCCUGUUUGCCUGAAGAGCCCGG